rnacentral:lncRNA from 1 species
CAUUUUUAGGCUUGUUCCUAAGUAGAAAACCAGAGUAAGGGCCCUGUCAACGUUUAACUUUACAACUUUUUUCCAUCACCGAUUGCUUCAAUAUCAAAACAGGAGUAAUAUUUAAAUCAAAGGGAAAAAUUGAUUAAAGAAUAUAACAAAUCAGUGAAGCAAAAAUGCAAAACAAAACCCACAUUUUGUGAUUGUCAGCUUUUCGUCAUCAAACAAAAGCUAAAAUGAUAGUAAAAUAGAACACAGAAGGCGACGGGAAUGAAAACCCAACGAAUUUGUGCCGCCGGUCACUGCUUCGUAUACGUCUGUGAAUGCCAAAUCGUCACUUCGUGUGUGAUUGUCAGCCGCCAGUUGUGACUGUGAAUGAGUUUAGGAGUUACUAAGAGAUUCGAGCCUUUGAUGAUGCUUGAUGAUGAACUAAUGAUGAUGAUUGGUGACGAAUUGAUAAUGAUGAUGAUUGGUGACGAAUUGAUGAAUUUGGGAGAUGACAAGGGGAGGAAAUGGUGGCGGAGAUGAAAAGGAGAGGCUGUGAAUUGAGGAAUUUAGGAGAUGAAAAGGAGAGAAAAUGGUGGCGG